CCUAUAGACUUAUCGGAGCUUGGGUUGGUUUCGUUGCAACGUGUUUUGGAGGUGCAGUGGACUGGAAAACUCUGGGUACGACAGCAGACAGUCGAAGUACGACAUUCGUCGUGUUCACAGUUAAUAAAAGUGUCGCAGUUUUUUCCAGAACCGAGAAUGGGGUGUAAGGGUGAAGGUGCCUGAGUGCCUUCAACGAGAAUUGGAGGCAGGGAUCAAAGAAACCAACAUUUCUUACUGUGAAGUGCAUCGUUUGCAUUGAGGGUAUGCUGUGUGCAACCUGCAAGUGUCGCCACGCUUCCAGCACCAACAAAGAUGUUUACAACUUACCAACUCUAGCCCGUAUGUCUUUGGAAUGUGGGAGGAAACCCACAUGGUCAGGGGGCAAUCAUACAAUUACAACAGCAGGAACUGGAGCCUGAUCUUACAGGCA